rnacentral:rRNA from 1 species
UACGGGGGGGGGCAAGCGUUGUUCGGAAUUACUGGGCGUAAAGGGCUCGUAGGCGGCCAACUAAGUCAGACGUGAAAUCCCUCGGCUUAACCGGGGAACUGCGUCUGAUACUGGAUGGCUUGAAUCCGGGAGAGGGAUGCGGAAUUCCAGGUGUAGCGGUGAAAUGCGUAGAUAUCUGGAAGAACACCGACGGCGAAGGCAGCUCGCUGGGACGGUACUGACGCUGAGGCGCGAAAGCGUGGGGAGCGAACAGG